CCUUAGUACGAGAGGACCGGGAUGGACAUACCUCUGGUGUACCAGUUGUCGUGCCAACGGCAUAGCUGGGUAGCUAUGUGUGGACGGGAUAAGUGCUGAAAGCAUCUAAGCAUGAAGCCCCCCUCAAGAUGAGAUUUCCCAACUUCGGUUAUAAGAUCCCUCAAAGAUGAUGAGGUUAAUAGGUUCGAGGUGGAAGCAUGGUGACAUGUGGAGCUGACGAAUACUAAUCGAUCGAAGACUUAAUCAAAA
rnacentral:rRNA from 1 species